AACGUAGGAGACAAACGUUAUCCGGAGUUACUGGGCGUAAAGGGCGUGUAGGUGGUAUCGUAAGUCUGGCGUGAAAUUUCUCGGCUUAACCGAGGCAGGUCGUCGGAUACUGCGAGGCUAGAGGACGGUAGAGGCGUGUGGAAUUCCGGGUGUAGUGGUGAAAUGCGUAGAGAUCCGGAGGAACACCAGUGGCGAAGGCGACACGCUGGGCCGUACCUGACACUGAUGCGCGACAGCAUGGGGAGCAACAGG
rnacentral:rRNA from 1 species